rnacentral:rRNA from 1 species
AUUGAACGCUGGCGGCAGGCCUAACACAUGCAAGUCGAGCGGAGCGGCGGACGGGUGAGUAAUGCCUAGGCAUCUGCCUGGUAGUGGGGGAUAAGGUCCGGCAACGGGCGCUAAUACCGCAUCCUAUCAGAUGAGCCUAGGGCGGAUUGGCUAGUUGGUGGGGUAAAGGCCUACCAAGGCGACGAUCCGUAACUGGUCUGAGAGGAUGAUCAGUCAAACUGGAACUGAGACACGGUCAAGAUUCCUAGGGGAGGCAGAAGUGGGGAAUAUUGGACAAGGGGCGAAAGCCUGAUCCAGCCAUGCCGCGGGUGGGAAGAAGGUCUUGGGAUGGUAAAGCACGUUAAGUUGGGAGGCGGUACCAGCAGAAUAAGCACCGGCUAACUUCGUGCCAGCAGCCGCGGUAAUAC